GAUGAACGCUAGCGGGAGGCCUAACACAUGCAAGCCGAGCGGUAGAGAUUCUUCGGAAUCUUGAGAGCGGCGUACGGGUGCGGAACACGUGUGCAACCUACCUUUAUCUGGAGGAUAGCCUUUCGAAAGGAAGAUUAAUACUCCAUUAUAUAUUGACUGGCAUCAGUUGAUAUUGAAAGCUCCGGCGGAUAAAGAUGGGCACGCGCAAGAUUAGCUAGUUGGUGAGGUAACGGCUCACCAAGGCGAUGAUCUUUAGGGGGCCUGAGAGGGUGAUCCCCCACACUGGUACUGAGACACGGACCAGACUCCUACGGGAGGCAGCAGUGAGGAAUAUUGGUCAAUGGGUGCAAGCCUGAACCAGCCAUCCCGCGUGAAGGACGACGGCCCUAUGGGUUGUAAACUUCUUUUGUAUAGGGAUAAACCUACUCUCGUGAGAGUAGCUGAAGGUACUAUACGAAUAAGCACCGGCUAACUACGUGCCAGCCGCCGCAGUAAGAC
rnacentral:rRNA from 1 species